AUUGAACGCUGGCGGCAUGCUUUACACAUGCAAGUCGAACGGUAACAGGCCGCAAGGUGCUGACGGGUGGCGAACGGGUGAGUAAUGCAUCGGAACGUGCCCAGUCGUGGGGGAUAACUACUCGAAAGAGUAGCUAAUACCGCAUACGAUCUAUGGAUGAAAGCGGGGGACCGUAAGGCCUCGCGCGAUUGGAGCGGCCGAUGUCAGAUUAGGUAGUUGGUGGGGUAAAGGCUCACCAAGCCAACGAUCUGUAGCUGGUCUGAGAGGACGACCAGCCACACUGGGACUGAGACACGGCCCAGACUCCUACGGGAGGCAGCAGUGGGGAAUUUUGGACAAUGGGCGCAAGCCUGAUCCAGCAAUGCCGCGUGCAGGAAGAAGGCCUUCGGGUUGUAAACUGCUUUUGUACGGAACGAAACGGCUCUGGUUAAUACCCGGGGCUAAUGACGGUACCGUAAGAAUAAGCGCCGGCUAACUACGUG
rnacentral:rRNA from 1 species